rnacentral:rRNA from 1 species
GAUGAACGCUGGCGGCGUGCCUAAUACAUGCAAGUCGAGCGAACAGAUAAGGAGCUUGCUCCUUUGACGUUAGCGGCGGACGGGUGAGUAACACGUGGAUAACCUACCUAUAAGACUGGGAUAACUUCGGGAAACCGGAGCUAAUACCGGAUAACAUAUUGAACCGCAUGGUUCAAUAGUGAAAGGCGGCUUUGCUGUCACUUAUAGAUGGAUCCGCGCCGUAUUAGCUAGUUGGUAAGGUAACGGCUUACCAAGGCAACGAUACGUAGCCGACCUGAGAGGGUGAUCGGCCACACUGGAACUGAGACACGGUCCAGACUCCUACGGGAGGCAGCAGUAGGGAAUCUUCCGCGAUGGGCGAAAGCCUGACGGAGCAACGCCGCGUGAGUGAUGAAGGUCUUCGGAUCGUAAAACUCUGUUAUCAGGGAAGAACAAAUGUGUAAGUAACUGUGCACAUCUUGACGGUACCUGAUCAGAAAGCCACGGCUAACUACGUG